AGACAUGAAGAUAUCAGUGGGAUGGAAUUCAAACUUCAUUUACACCACUGAGAGUUCUGAAAGAGAACAGCCAAUCGGGAGGUUAGAUAAAGCCAAGCUGCAAAAAUGGCUGUCGAUGGAGCAAGGAAAUGCAGAGGCGCAAAGAGAAAUAUCCUUGAUGUUCUCAACAAGUUCAAGUCUUGUGGCCAGUUUCACCAAAGCCAG